UACGUAGGGGGCUAGCGUUGUCCGGAAUCAUUGGGCGUAAAGAGCGCGUAGGCGGCCAGAUAAGUCCGGUGUGAAAGUCAAAGGCUCAACCUUUUGAAUGCCGCUGGAAACUGUCUGGCUAGAGUCCGGGAGGGGCGAGUGGAAUUCCUGGUGUAGCGGUGAAAUGCGUAGAUAUCGUAAGGAAGACCAGUGGCGAAGGCGGGUCUCUGGACAGUUCCUGACGCUGAGGCACGAAGGUCAGGGGAGCAAACGGGG
rnacentral:rRNA from 1 species